GACGAACGCUGGCGGCGUGCCUAAUACAUGCAAGUAGAACGCUGAAGGAGGAGCUUGCUCUUCUGGAUGAGUUGCGAACGGGUGAGUAACGCGUAGGUAACCUGCCUGGUAGCGGGGGAUAACUAUUGGAAACGAUAGCUAAUACCGCAUAAGAGUAGAUGUUGCAUGACAUUUGCUUAAAAGGUGCAAUUGCAUCACUACCAGAUGGACCUGCGUUGUAUUAGCUAGUUGGUGAGGUAACGGCUCACCAAGGCAACGAUACAUAGCCGACCGUGAGGGGUGAUCGGCCACCCUGGGAAUGGGACACGGCCCAGACUCCUACGGGAGGCAGCAGUAGGGAAUCUUCGGCAAUGGACGGAAGUCUGACCGAGCAACGCCGCGUGAGUGAAGAAGGUUUUCGGAUCGUAAAGCUCUGUUGUAAGAGAAGAACGAGUGUGAGAGUGGAAAGUUCACACUGUGACGGUAUCUUACCAGAAAGGGGCGGCUAACUACGUGCCAGCAGCCGCCGUAACAC
rnacentral:rRNA from 1 species